rnacentral:rRNA from 1 species
UGGGGAAUAUUGGACAAUGGGGGGAACCCUGAUCCAGCGAUGCCGCGUGUGCGAAGAAGGCCUGCGGGUUGUAAAGCACUUUGGUUGGGGAAGAAGGUUGGUCGAUAAAUAGUCGAUUGAAUUGACGUUACCCAAAGAACAAGCACCGGCUAACUCUGUGCCAGCAGCCGCGGUAAUACAGAGGGUGCGAGCGUUGUUCGGAUUCAUUGGGCGUAAAGGGUGCGUAGGUGGCGUCGUAAGUCAGGUGUGAAAUCUCGGGGCUUAACUCCGAAACUGCAUUUGAUACUGCGGUGCUCGAGGACUGGAGAGGAGACUGGAAUUUACGGUGUAGCAGUGAAAUGCGUAGAGAUCGUAAGGAAGACCAGUGGCGAAGGCGGGUCUCUGGACAGUUCCUGACACUGAGGCACGAAGGCCAGGGGAGCAAACGG